GAUGAAGAACGUAGCGAAAUGCGAUACGUAAUGUGAAUUGCAGAAUUCAGUGAAUCAUCGAAUCUUUGAACGCAUAUUGCGCUCUCUGGUAUUCCGGAGAGCAUGCUUGUUUGAGUAUCAGUAAACACCUCAACUCCCUUUUCUUUUUUGAAAUUGGAGCUGGACUUGAGUGAUCCCAACGCUUUCUUCCAAGAAAGUGGCGGGUUGCUUGAAAUGCAGGUGCAGCUGAACUUUUCUCUGAGCUAUAAGCAUAUCUAUUUAGUCUGCCUAAAAAACAGAUUAUUACCUUUGCUGCAGCUAACAUAAAGGAGACUAGUUCUUGUGCUGACUGAUGCAGGAUUCACAGAGACAGCUUCGGCUGACUUUGUAAACUCGAUCUCAAAUCAAGUAAGACUACCCGCUGAACUUAAGCAUAUCAAUAAGCGGAGGA
rnacentral:misc_RNA from 1 species